GACCCCGCGGCCGGGCCGGGCCGGGAGCAGCCGGACGCGCAGGGACCAGGGACCGGCGUCGGGGUCGCCGGCGCGGCCUGGGGCGGAGGCGACAUGGAGCGGAGGUGGGUCUUCGUGCUGCUCGACAUGCUGUGCGUUCUGGUCGCCUCUCUGCCCUUCGCCAUCCUGACCCUGGUGAACACCCCUUACAAGCGAGGGUUUUACUGUGGUGAUGAAUCCAUCCGUUACCCCUACCGUCCAGACACCAUCACCCACGGGCUCAUGGCCGGGGUCACCAUCACAGCCACCGUCAUCCUGGUGUCUGUGGGAGAGGCCUACCUGGUGUACACAGACCGCCUCUACUCACGCUCUGACUUCAACAACUACGUGGCCGCCGUCUACAAGGUGCUGGGGACGUUCCUGUUUGGGGCUGCUGUGAGCCAGUCACUGACAGACCUGGCCAAGUACAUGAUUGGCCGUCUGCGGCCCAACUUCCUGGCCAUCUGCGACCCCGACUGGAGCCGGGUCAACUGCUCAGUCUACGUGCAGUUGGAGGUGUGCAAGGGAAACCCCCUGAAUGUCACUGAGGCCAGGCUGUCUUUUUACUCGGGUCACUCCUCCUUCGGGAUGUACUGCAUGAUGUUCUUGGUGUGGGCACCCAGGCUGACCACAUCCCCUGCGCCACCCCAGCUCUAUGUGCAGGCGCGGCUCUGCUGGAAGUGGGCUCGCCUCCUACGUCCCACAGUCCAGUUCUUCCUGUUGGCCUUUGCCCUCUACGUGGGCUACACCCGCGUGUCUGACCACAAGCACCACUGGAGUGAUGUCCUCGUCGGCCUCCUGCAGGGAGCACUGGUGGCUGGCCUCACUGUGCGCUAUGUCUCGGACUUCUUCAAAGCCCGUCCUCCGCAGCGCUGCCUAGAGGACGAGGAGCUGGGACGGAAGCCCAGCCUGUCCCUGACGCUGGCCCUGGGCGACACUGACCGCAACCACUGUGCGUACCCGGUCUCCUCCUCCUGAGGCCAGAGCCCACCCGGACAGGGCCAUCUGUGAGUCCAGUUGAUGCCCUGGCUGAGGGGCAUGGCCUUGAAAGCCAGGACCACAGCGGUGGUUUUGGCCAAAAGAGAGGAAAUAGCUGCAGUGAACACGACUCCAAAUGUGGCUUUCCAGGGGACACAGGUGGCUGAGCUGGGGCAGAGGAGAACGGUGCAGCUGAGAGUCUGGUUGGGGUCUUGGUGCUUCACAAAGACCCGCAGGACCACAGAUGUGAGCAGAGAAGGAAUGAGCAGUGCUGGCCAGAGUACUUCCCGUGGGGUCCUCGAAAGCUAGAAAGGUCACAGCCUGUGGGAGACAGCCAUCUCUGCUACUGUUUGGGCCUUGGUCAUGUGGAUACGUCACACACUGGUCUGCAUCUGAUGAGAAAGGCAGAGAGGCAGUGAGGGGUAUAAUCACUUCAUGCCAGAGCUCUGUUGUGGGACUUAGGGCAGGUGUACAUCCAACCUUAGAAUUGCACCUGACUUCAGUGAACCCAGUGGGUUCUCUGUCACGUCCUGCUGGAUGGCAUAUUCUUGACCCAAUGGAGACUGAGGGACAAACUGUCCCACCCUCACCAGAAUCUACAGUCCAGCACUAAAGUUCUCGUAGAUCAGAGUAUCAUAUCGAGCCAGAUGUUUUCUUUUCUCAUAUGAUGAAACCUGCUCCCCAGCAGUAUUGUUAACCUGGCUGCUCCCCAGGUUACAAUGGAGCUAAAUGAGAUGCAUUGCCAUGUAAUGAAAAGUGAAUUCGAAAAAUAGAACAAUCCCAACAAGAAAACAUUUUAAAUAUUUUAGAUGCUACCUGUAUAGAAAAUCACUUGCAUUGCUAACUUUCAAGUAUAAAAAUAGGAAUAUUUGCAUUGUACAACACAAUAUCAUGUGACUAUCAUAAAAGAUAGUAGAUGACACACU